rnacentral:rRNA from 1 species
CAGCCGUAAACUAUGCGCGUUAGGUGUAUCGGUGACCACGAGUUACCGAGGUGCCGAAGGGAAACCGUGAAACGUGCCGCCUGGGAAGUACGGUCGCAAGGCUGAAACUUAAAGGAAUUGGCGGGGGAGCACCACAACAGGUGGAGCCUGCGGUUUAAUUUGGACUCAACGCCGGGAAGCUCACCGGAUAGGACAGCAGAAUGAUUGCCGGGCUGAAGACCCUGCAUGACUAGCUGAGAGGUGGUGCAUGGCGUCAGUGACU